rnacentral:rRNA from 1 species
CUCGGGAUAACCUGUCGAAAGAUAGGCUAAUACCGGAUAAGACCACGGAUGUUGCGGCAUCUGCGGUAAAAGAUGGCCUCUAUUCAUAAGCUAUCACUAAACGAUGGGCCUGCGCGCCAUUAGCUAGUUGGUGAGGUAACGGCUCACCAAGGCGACGAUGGCUAGUUGGUCUGAGAGGAUGACCAGCCACACUGGGACUGAGACACGGCCCAGACUCCUACGGGAGGCAGCAGUGGGGAAUAUUGCGCAAUGGGGGGAAACCCUGACGCAGCGACGCCGCGUGGGUGAUGAAGGCCUUCGGGUCGUAAAGCCCUGUCGGAGGGGAAGAACGAUUGCGGUGCAAAUAGUGCCGCGGUCUGACGGUACCCUUAAAGGAAGCACCGGCUAACUCCGUGCCAGCAGCCGCGGUAA